UUUGUUGCAUAAUUGUAUAUUUGGAUGGAUUUGGUGUAAUACGUUGAAAGAAUUGUUUGAAUAAUUGUGCUGUGCAUAGAUUGUGAUUUGUUUGUGUGGAAUUGGGAUGAAGUGGGUCACCAUGGGACUGUGAGACCGUACCGUUAUAUGGAUCCAAUAUGAUUACCGUUAGCCGGGUAAAUGGGAGAUCGGCGCCCCCGUGUGCACCUACCGUUACCGUUACCGUUAACCACGGGUUGGCUUCUCGUCGUUNNNNN
rnacentral:lncRNA from 1 species